UCCUGCAAGGUUGGAACAGAUAAAGUAAGGUUGGAACAGGUUAAGUAAAGACAAAUGAAUUACCUCUUGCUGGGCUUACGUCUUCCUAUUUAACUUGUUUAGUAGCAUGUCAGGGAUUCUGUGUGUGAUUUUUACGACUAUUUGAGUAUAUUCUUAGGCAUGGAAGCACAGUGAACAUUCUCUUUUAGUUUCCAGAAACCUUGUUGGUGCCGAGACAACAAUCUUUUUUGCUUUUACACUACUAUACAUAUGAUAUUGGCCUAUCUGUUCAUCAUAUCCACAUAUAUUUUCUGAUGUUGACUUUCAAAUGCGCAAUAUCUGUAUCUUACCCUUGAUGGAUUAAAGCUUGCAGCAGCAAUAGGCAAUCCUAGAGUUGUGAAAGUUACCAACCACAAACCUCCGAGUCGAAGUAAAAAGGGCCCAGGUCCCAGUUCGCCCCACGAGUACAAGGCUCCGUCCUUCAGAGAUGAGUACUCAUUCACCUAUCAUGGAAUCAAAUAACUGACUGAGACUACUGCAAAAUUAGACAGAGAGAUUGAAAACAUACCGGCCUUUGCUCAAAAGGAACCUCAAUUUCUGACCCCGGAUCCCAACUCUGCCCGCGGAAGCCACUCGUUUCCCCGCCUGCCCCAUCUUUCAAGGCCUUGAUAGAAACCCCCUUGGGCAGCCUUCUAGCACUACGGUAUUGGAUGAGCCAUGAGGUGGAGCUGCUACCAACCGUCACUAACUUGACUUUUGGAGGACUAAAGAGCAGAGAGCAAUACACUUGCGCUCGGAGCAUCUAUUUCCUUAAAAUCGAACCGAACCGAGCGCAGCCGAGGGGUAUCCUAAAUUUCUUGGUUCAACUGGCAAGAAACCGGGGGAGGAGAUGAGUGUUUUUCAGGGAUGGUUGUGUUUUUUCAGGGACCAUGCAUUAUUUACGUGGAGGAAAACAACUGAUUCGGAAAAUCAUAUUUGUAAUUUACUGCGAAGAGGAGGGCUUGUUUGGACAAUGACCCAAAGCCAGGUAGGCAAAACGUGUGAUAGUACUUGUAUACUUCCAUUGGAAGGGGGGACCCACACAAUUGGACAUGUGUGCAAGCCUCUCCUUUGUGUGUGUACUUUUGGACCGUCGAUCAUGUAGGCCUGUAAAUAGGAUUAUCCAAAUGUUAGGGACUUUAAAAAGUAAUUUUGUUCUUGUCUGUAAACAGUGUGUUGGCGACGUUGAUUGUGCAAAUGAAAUGUGAACACCUUCGGCCUUCCACGCA